CAAGAGAAGCUCUUGUAUUGAGUACAAUUGACAAGAAAAGCUCUUUGAUUGAGUACAAUUGACAAGAAAAGCCCUUUUUUAGUGCAAUUGACAAGAAAAUCUUUUU